GGCCUACGGGGCGCAGCAGUGGGGAAUAUUGGGCAAUGGGCGCAAGCCUGACCCAGCGACGCCGCGUGAGGGAAGACGGUCUUCGGAUUGUAAACCUCUUUCAGCAGGGAAGACAAAAGGACGGUACCUGCAGAAGAAGCCACGGCUAACUACGUGCCAGCAGCCGCGGUAAUACGUAGGUGGCAAGCGUUGUCCGGAUUUACUGGGUGUAAAGGGCGUGUAGCCGGGUUGACAAGUCAGAUGUGAAAUCCUGCGGCUUAACCGCAGAACUGCAUUUGAAACUGUUGACCUUGAGUACUGGAGAG
rnacentral:rRNA from 1 species